rnacentral:rRNA from 1 species
UACGGGGGGAGCAAGCGUUGUUCGGAUUUACUGGGCGUAAAGGGCGCGUAGGCGGCCACCGCAAGUCGACUGUGAAAUCUCCGGGCUUAACCCGGAAAGGUCAGCCGAUACUGCGGGGCUAGAGUGCAGAAGGGGCAACUGGAAUUCUCGGUGUAGCGGUGAAAUGCGUAGAUAUCGGGAGGAACACCUGCGGCGAAGGCGGGUUACUGGGCUGACACUGACGCUGAUGCGCGAAAGCUAGGGGAGCGAACGGG